UCCUCAGUGUGUUUAUGGAUUAUAGCUUUAGAUUGAGAUACUCACUGUGUUUAUACAUUAUAGCUUUAGAUU